rnacentral:rRNA from 1 species
AACGAACGCUGGCGGCGUGGCUAAGACAUGCAAGUCAAACGGACUAUACAAUUGAGUAAUCGAUCGUAUAGUUAGUGGCGAAAGGGUUAGUAAUGGAUAGGUAACGUACCCUCUGCUUCGGGAUAGCGUCUCCUGAACCCUUGUGGUUCAGGAUUCCGAAGGGGGCGGUAAUACCGGAUAAUAUCAUUUGUCGAUGGGCAAAUGUUCAAAGAUUUAUCGGAAGAGGAGCGGCCUAUCUCCUAUCAGCUUGUUGGUGAGGUAAUGGCUCACCAAGGCAGCGACGGGUAGCGGGACUGAGAGGUUGACCCGCAACAUCGGGACUGAGACACUGCCCGGACCUCCACGGAGGGCUGCAGUAACGAAUAUUGCGCAAUGGGCGAAAGCCCUGACGCAGCGACGCCCGCGUGCGGGAGGAAGUCCCUCGGGAUGUAAACCGCUGUCGAGAGAUUAGAAAGUCCGCUUCGGCGGAUUGAUCAGUCUCACAGGAAGUCACGGCUAACUUCGUGCCAGCAGCCGCGGUAAGACGAAAGGUGGCUAGCGUUGUUCGGUAUUACUGGGCUUAAAGCGUGUGUAGGCUGAAAGGUAAGCGUCCUGUGAAAGCCCCCGGCUUAACCGGGGAAUUGCGAGACGAACUGUCUUUCUUGAGCCAAGUAGGGGUGCACGGAACUCUUGGUGGAGCGGUGGAAUGCGUAGAUAUCAAGAGGAACGCCAGUGGAGAAAUCGGUGCACUGGGCUUGUGCUGACGCUGAGACACGAAAGCGUGGGGAGCGAACGGGAUUAGAUACCCCGGUAGUCCACGCCGUAAACGAUGUCUACUAGGUUGUGGAAGUUCUGACACUUGCACGGCCGAAGCAAAAGUGAUAAGUAGACCGCCUGGGGAGUACGGCCGCAAGGCUA